AGAAGUCCGCGUCUGGGCCUGAGCAAUAACUUCAUGGCCCAGCCGGACCCCAACCGAGCAGAUCAGGCGGCGCCUCCUCCUCAGUGUCCUACAGUCGCUCACAGACCAAAGUUCCUUCUCUGGGAAGUUGUCUGCAAAUUGGCCAUAAAACCCUGUUCCCUGAUACCUUCUUCUUUCCUUCCUAGAGGUUGAAUAUUCAUGCUAUUUUAUGAAAACUUCAAAAGACUGAG